rnacentral:tRNA from 1 species
GGGGAUUUAGCUCAGUGGUAGAGCACUUGCCUAGCAAGCACAAGACCCUGGGUUCAUUCCUCAGCUCCA